GUCUCACAGGGCUCUGCUCUCUUGCACAGCAGUGCUGGCUGUCUCUGCUACCCUGGGCUGCACAUCAGGGAUGCUCUAACACCUCACAGUUGCAAUUACCUCUGCUUCAGCCUUGGCCCUUUGGAUGAGGACCCCAUAAAGGCUGACCGAGGCUCAGCUGGGGAUGCUGCUCACCACUUGAUGAGACAGUCACUGUUUUCAAGGCUUCAGAACUGUACAAUUCCUUGACAACCUCUUCUUCCACCAUUGCAUACCAGUGCACAAACGUGUGGAUGUGUUCUUGCUCUCUCUCAUGUGGACUGAAGGAGGACACAAAUCCAGAAAUCAGGCUUGCUAUGUGAUAGAAAUGGUCUCAAUGUGGUGAAGAUCUCCAAGCAGCAAAUAUGCACUGUAUUUGUAGGGAUGAUAAGGCAUAGAAAAAUGUGUGCUGGUGUGUCAAAUAAAAUUUUUCUGCUUGUUUUAAGUGAAGGAGAUCUCUUGUGUUAGAGGCCGGAUACCUAAAAUCCAAAGUUAAUUUCUUGACACCCUUAUUUUAACUUCCAGUCACUACAGCAUUGUCUCAGUCUCGGGAGAAAAAUACUUGCCACUGAACUUUGGCUGGGAUUGUGGUAAGAGCCUUGCUAAUACACAACAAGCAUUUAGUAGAUCUAGUUCUUGCUAACUUCUUGUGUGUGCAAAGAAUGAUGAUUGUUAUUUUUCAUUAAAGCAGCUUGCUGGCACAUAAGCUCUCCUAUCCCACCAAAGGCUACAAGUUAAUUGAAGUUUGAUUAUAGGUUUUCAUUGAGAAGGAAUGUUAGACAACAGCAGGCAGUUGAAAACAAGGAGCUGGCACUGUGAACCCGAGGUGUCCCACUAGCAGGGAAGAGCUGUGGCCCUGGCUGUGACCCUUGCAGCACAGGGACUCACUGCAGAGGAGAAAGUCAUCGUCUUCUUCCCAUGGUCUGGCUGUGGUAGGGCAGGUUUGCUCCACAGGCUCCAGACCAAGGCUGGCCAGGCUAUAAACAGGAACCCACUGCAGCUGGGAGUAAAUUGUCAAAGGAAGGAAUGUUCAAGGAAACCAUGCCACACUCUUGCUGGGUUUUUUUGCAAUACUUUAAUACAGCAUUAAAAUGCUAGAAUACUAGAGGAAAGCUGUAUACUAUCCAGCAAAUAAGGCACAUGUCGGAAUGCCAUUUUAUGGACAAUCCACAACAGAGGUUUUACAGUCUUGUUAGCAACACAGUCACCAGAUGAGCAAGCUGUCAUCUUGAUUGCUGAAACAGAACUGGUACCUCUGAGGCCUUUGUCCAUAGGUUUUGUUUGUUUUAGCUGUACAAGUUUAUUAACAGUUACAGAAAAAGAAAUUACACAAUUUGCCAACUGAAUCUGACAAGGUCAGUGGGUACAGCUAAACAAAUGUAAUAAUCAUUAGGUUAAUUUUUUUUAAAGCUGAAGAAAUUCAUAAAAUAGUGUUAGUUUUAGCACUAUUACACAAUGCAGUGAGUGCUGUACUAAAUAACCUUUUAAAGGAAACAAGAAUCCAGUACAGGCCUGGGCAGACCUCCCAUUUUAGCAUGGUAAAAUAUCAAAUUAAAAACUCAAUCCUUCAUAAUAUAAUCAAACUACAUGAAAUGUAAAGUGUAAAAUGCUUCGAAUACGUGCACAUGCAUAUUCUAUAUUGCUAUGAGUUCUAAUUAAAAUAAACAUAAACCCCUACAAUAAUCUACUUCAAUCCUUUUCUCUUACAUCCUUUGAUUGAUAUUAUUGCUGUAGAUGAUACUGCAUAGCUGAGCUCACAGUCUGCAAAGAGUUGUGAAAGUCAAGUUAAACAGCGUCCCAACCAACUUUCUUCCCCCCAGUUAUGGGGAAGGGAAGAGGCACCACUUGGAACCCACCACUUGUGCUUCAGAGUUUCUGAAAGCCGAGUCUCCACGGUGCUUUCAACAUCUUCUGUGUCUCUCACAAGGCCAUAAAGUGACAGUAUACUGUUAUUUGCUCCUCACUUGCUACAUGUCUAGUGAUAGCUUUUCUCCUUCCCCAAAUACACAUAAAUAAACUGUAUAAGCAUUUUCAUAUAAGUCUAAGCACUUGAAUAAUACACUGGUUACUUAAUACUGAUAUUUUCAUCCAAGGAUAACAAAAACAAUAUGGCUUAAAGAAUUGCAAGGUUUUUUGUCAGAAUUAUGUACCAACUUUCAUAUAAUAUUUUAUGUAGACAAUAUUUCCUUCUUAAUGUAGUUCUGUUGCAUACUUUAUACAGACAAAAGCAUUGUAAAAAAAAAAAAAAGUAAAUUAUUUCCAUAAAUAUUUUCUUGAGGA